AGAUCCGAUUAUCGUAAACACCCUUCGUUUCAAGAUUUCUAUUUGUACGUGGGAUGUGUCUAUUAAUUUAAUUAAUUUAUUUUAUAAAAUAAAUUGUUUUAAUGCCUUAAUUAAAAAUUUACAUUGCAUAAAAACUAAUAAAUUCUUUAAUCUAAUACAGUGUUGACAUUUUAUUAAACAUUUUUAUAAUAUAUUUUAUAAUUAAUAGGGGGGAGUGGAUAAAAUAUACAUUAUUGCAUAAUCAAGUAUAGUAAACGUGGGAGUGAUGUAAUUAUUAAUAAAAAAACAUUUCAAAUUUCAUACAUAUUUCUAUCACAGCGCAUGCUCAAUUCGUUACAAUACACCGAUGACAUGUAUCCUAACCUGCACAAUCGUCAACUUUCGCUUGAUAUCUCGGUUCGCGGGGCAGAGCGACACUUUUUAUUGCCAGAUUCGUUCGUUUCGAGUGAAAACGCGUCGAAUGAGACUAGUUUCAUAAUAAUCGGACGUGAAGUACCUAAACUGAAUAAUUACCUUAAUUUACAAAUUAUUUUACCUUAAUUAAAAAUAAAUUAUACUAAAAUAUACAAAUUUUAUCAACACCACAUGCAAGCACGCACGGCACGCAUGCACAUGGUAUAAAGCAUAAAACAUAUAAAUACAUAAAGGUUGGUAUAAUAGCCGUAACCGUUAACUUAAGCCGGUGCCGUAAAAGUUGGAAGAUAGGAAACCUGUACUAAUCAGAUUUGUUGAUAAUAUAUCUUAUAUACAUUUAUAUACAUCUUAUACACUGACAUUCAUGUUUCAGGAUUUGAAAAAAAUAUUAACAGCAAAACUAGAUAAGUUGACGCAGUCUACAAUGAAAGAUGUCGAUGAAAAAAUGUGGGGUGCGCACGAUUGGACACCGCAUGAUUGGACACCACCACUCAUGGCGGCCUAUGCCUAGAGUUUUUCCACUGGUCAAGCGCUGUGAGUGGUGGUGUCCAAUCGUGCUGUGUCCAAAAGGGUGUCACCCUGAAAAUGUUAAUGAACAGCAAUCUCAGUUUAUAAAUUCCAACAAGGAGACAGAGUAUAUUAAUGUACGACGCAAAGUUGACAGAGCAAAAUUGAGUGGUUCGGAUUGCUGGGAAUGUGAAAGUAUUACAAGAAUUUGUCGCUGUCAAAAGACGAACUGCAGAAGAGAAAAAAUAAAUGCUCACAACAUCGACGAAAGUACAAAAGGCCAAUAACACCAGAAGAAUUUCUGAAUCCCGAAUUUCCUGACACACAGUCGUUGGAAUCAGUUGGAAAAUGUAUAGAACCAGUACUAGAAAAGGGUUGCAGUAAUUCGAAGAUUUUUCAACCUGAAGAAUGCUUCAUAUUCAAUCUCAAUCAUUCAGAGAGCAAUCAAUCGGGAGGAUGCAAUAAUGAAAAGGAGAUUACAAAUGAAGAACACGACCCAUUACAAACUUCUACAUGUGAAACAACCACCGAUGUAGUCAAUGAUGUAGACAACCAUCUUUCAGAG